UACGAAGGGGGCUAGCGUUGCUCGGAAUCACUGGGCGUAAAGCGCACGUAGGCGGAUUGUUAAGUCGGGGGUGAAAUCCUGGAGCUCAACUCCAGAACUGCCUUCGAUACUGGCGAUCUUGAGUCCGGGAGAGGUGAGUGGAACUCCGAGUGUAGAGGUGAAAUUCGUAGAUAUUCGCAAGAACACCAGUGGCGAAGGCGGCUGACUGGUCCGGUUCUGACGCUGAGGCGCGAAAGCGUGGGGAGCAAACAGG
rnacentral:rRNA from 1 species